CGGCCGCUCCGAGCGGCCUUCCCCCGCCGACUUCCUGCACAUCGAUACUUUCGCAACGCCCGCCUGGCAAACACGCCGAGACCCGCUGGGGGUCGGCAGGGACAGAGGGGGCGCGGCUGCCCGGCUCCACGAUACCCCGGCACCGGGGGACGCGCCCCGGGGCCCCGGCCCCCCGCACCCCGCCAAGCCCCUUCCCCUCCUUCCUUCCUUCCCUUCCCUUCCCGCGGCUGCCCGCCGGCCGCAGCCCCGGGGAAGGCCAAAGCGAAGGCGCGGCGGCGGCCCCGCGGGACGGCCCCGGGCUGUGCGCAGCCGGCCCCGGCCGCACUUACAGAUCUUGCCCCGGAGGUUCUGCAGCACCCGCACCUCGUCGCCGCCGCCGUCCUGGGCCGCCAUCGCGCCAGCGCCGCCGCCUGCGCAGUGCGCGGCGGGGGAGGGGAAGGAGAGAAGGGAGGAGAGGGAGGGGAGGGGAAGGGAGGGAAGGGAAGGGAAGGAGGGAGCGGCCCCGCCGCACGCCCCCGGGCCGCUCCGCCCCGCUGGGGGCCGCCGCCACCGCCCUCGGGGGGCAGCCCGGCACCGGCACCUGGCGGGGGCCGUAGCCGUGAGGGGCGCGGGCCGCCCGCGCUAACGGCCGGGCACGGGGCGAGGCCGAGCCCCCGGGGGAGCGGCUGUGGGAGCCGCGGGGAGCCCGGCCCGGCCCGGCCCUGCCCGCACCGCGAGCCCCGGCCCCCCGGGCGUGCCGGCGAAGUACAAAUAAAGCGCGUUUGCCUUGCCCUCGCGGGGAACGGAAAGGGCUUUUCGUCACGCUUUCGCUGGGAUUUCCUGAGGAGGGAUCCUAACGAGAAGCUCCGGGACCCGGCUGAGGGCUGGGACGAGCCCCGGUGGCGGUGGUGGGCGGCUUCGCCCCGGCCCCGCGGCCGCCCAGCCGCCAGGAGCGGCCCCAGCCCGGUGCAGCUCGGGGCGCUGCAGGUGCCGCAGCCUCCGGGCCCUGUGGGCGCGAGUCCUGGUGCAGCCCCGUAG
rnacentral:lncRNA from 1 species